rnacentral:rRNA from 1 species
UGAGUAACACGUGAGUAACCUGCCCUUGACUUUGGGAUAACUUCAGGAAACUGGGGCUAAUACCGGAUAGGAGCUCCUGCUGCAUGGUGGGGGUUGGAAAGUUUCGGCGGUUGGGGAUGGACUCGCGGCUUAUCAGCUUGUUGGUGGGGUAGUGGCUUACCAAGGCUUUGACGGGUAGCCGGCCUGAGAGGGUGACCGGCCACAUUGGGACUGAGAUACGGCCCAG